GGGCCCGCACAAGCGGUGGAGCAUGUGGUUUAAUUCGAUGAUACGCGAGGAACCUUACCAGGGCUUAAAUGCAGAACGACCGGGGUGGAAACACCCCUUUCUUCGGACGGUCUGCAAGGUGCUGCAUGGUUGUCGUCAGCUCGUGCUGUGAAGUGUCGGGUUAAGUCCCAUAACGAGCGCAACCCCUAUUUCUAGUUGCCAGCGGUUCGGCCGGGGACUCUAGAGAAACUGCCAGCGUAAGCUGUGAGGAAGGUGGGGAUGACGUCAAAUCAUCACGGCCCUUACGUCCUGGGCUACACACGUGCUACAAUGGUAGGGACAGAGAGUUGCCAACCCGCGAGGGUGAGCUAAUCUUCAAACCCUAUCUCAGUUCGGAUCGGAGUCUGCAACUCGACUCCGUGAAGUUGGAAUCGCUAGUAA
rnacentral:rRNA from 1 species